rnacentral:misc_RNA from 1 species
GAGAAAUGAGGCAAAGGGCGGCCCAACCGCCGCCCGGAGCCGACCCUCUCCACCCUGCCUUUUUGAAAACCUCACCUCCUCCCCGGCCUCCGCGCCGGGCUGGCUUACUUGAAAAAACCUUGCAGUUAUAGUCUAUUCAGUUAUUUUAAACAAAAUUA